UAAGAAGUGAUCGAGCAUGCAAAAGGAAUACAUGUCUUUAACCCUAAGCUUGCAUUAUUUAUUUUGGCAUUAAAUUCAUAGCAAUAAGACAACUAUAUGAACCAUCUCCGGGACAUAAUGAUAUUUUGGAUAUUUGGUUUGGUCUGCUUGGCACGAUCAUGGGAAGAUAGGGAUUUCUUUAGAGAUAAACUUGUAGACAAGUAUUGUUGGCUUGGGCUGAGAUGCUUGUGUUGUAUUGGAGGGAAUGCACGAUGUGACCAAGGAAACGGCUAUUGCUAUGAUGGCUGCGUUAAUGGACAGUUUGGCAAUACAUGCAAUACACCUUGUCCCGGUAACUGUUCUACGUGCAGUCGAGCAACAGGUUGUCCAUGUUACAGCUGCAAGACUUCAUUUUAUGAUACAACUAGUGCGUGUAGCAAGAAGUGCCCAGUCGGGUGUGAUAGGGGAGCCUGCUAUGAGAAUGGAACAUGUACAGCAAACUUCGAAGGAACAAAAUGUGAGACGUGCAUACAAGGGAAAUACGGUUCCGGUUGUACACACAAUUGCACUCAUCAUAACUGCCGUUGUUCGACUGAAACUGAUUGUACUUCUUGUAAAACGGGAUUCUAUGGUAGAAGUACCUUCUGUCAAACAUCUUGUUCCCCGGGA